rnacentral:rRNA from 1 species
GACGAACGCUGGCGGCGUGCUUAACACAUGCAAGUCGAACGGAAAGGCCCUGCUUUUGUGGGGUGCUCGAGUGGCGAACGGGUGAGUAACACGUGAGUAACCUGCCCUUGACUUUGGGAUAACUUCAGGAAACUGGGGCUAAUACCGGAUAGGAGCUCCUGCUGCAUGGUGGGGGUUGGAAAGUUUCGGCGGUUGGGGAUGGACUCGCGGCUUAUCAGUUUGUUGGUGGGGUAGUGGCUUACCAAGGCUUUGACGGGUAGCCGGCCUGAGAGGGUGACCGGCCACAUUGGGACUGAGAUACGGCCCAGACUCCUACGGGAGGCAGCAGUGGGGAAUAUUGCACAAUGGGCGGAAGCCUGAUGCAGCAACGCCGCGUGCGGGAUGACGGCCUUCGGGUUGUAAACCGCUUUCGCCUGUGACGAAGCGUGAGUGACGGUAAUGGGUAAAGAAGCACCGGCUAACUACGUGCCAGCAGCCGCGGUGAUACGUAGGGUGCGAGCGUUGUCCGGAUUUAUUGGGCGUAAAGGGCUCGUAGGUGAUUGAUCGCGUCGGAAGUGUAAUCUUGGGGCUUAACCCUGAGCGUGCUUUCGAUACGGGUUGACUUGAGGAAGGUAGGGGAGAAUGGAAUUCCUGGUGGAGCGGUGGAAUGCGCAGAUAUCAGGAGGAACACCAGUGGCGAAGGCGGUUCUCUGGGCCUUUCCCGACGCUGAGGAGCGAAAGCGUGGGGAGCGAACAGGCUUAGAUACCCUGGUAGUCCACGCUGUAAACGGUGGGUACUAGGUGUGGGGUCCAUUCCACGGGUUCCGUGCCGUAGCUAACGCUUUAAGUACCCCGCCUGGGGAGUACGGCCGCAAGGCUAAAACUCAAAGGAAUUGACGGGGCCCCGCACAAGCGGCGGAGCAUGCGGAUUAGUUCGAUGCAACGCGUAGAACCUUACCUGGGUUUGACAUGGAUCGGGAGUGCUCAGAGAUGGGUGUGCCUCUUUUGGGGUCGGUUCACAGGUGGUGCAUGGCUGUCGUCAGCUCGUGUCGUGAGAUGUUGGGUUAAGUCCCGCAACGAGCGCAACCCUUGUUCACUGUUGCCAGCACGUUAUGGUGGGGACUCAGUGGAGACCGCCGGGGUCAACUCGGAGGAAGGUGGGGAUGACGUCAAGUCAUCAUGCCCCUUAUGUCCAGGGCUUCACGCAUGCUACAAUGGCUGGUACAGAGAGUGGCGAGCCUGUGAGGGUGAGCGAAUCUCGGAAAGCCGGUCUCAGUUCGGAUUGGGGUCUGCAACUCGACCUCAUGAAGUCGGAGUCGCUAGUAAUCGCAGAUCAGCAACGCUGCGGUGAAUACGUUCCCGGGGCU